UUGUUGUGGUAGGUGUUUCUGUGACAGUUGUUGUGGUAGGUUUUUCUGUCACUGUUGUUGUUGUGGUAGGUUCUCCUGUGACGGUUGAUGUGGUAGGUUCUU